rnacentral:rRNA from 1 species
UACGAAGGGGCUAGCGUUGUUCGGAUUUACUGGGCGUAAAGCGCGUGUAGGCGGGUCGUUAAGUUGGGGUGAAAUCCCGAGGCUCAACCUCGGAACUGCCUUCAAACUGGCGACCUGGACUCAAGUAGAGGCAAGUGGAAUUGCGAGUGUAGAGGUGAAAUUCGUAGAUAUUCGCAGGAACACCAGUGGCGAAGGCGACUUGCUGGACUUGUAGUGACGCUGAGACGCGAAAGCGUGGGGAGCAAACAGG